GGAUGAAGUGCACGGGGGGUUCUCCCCUGUGUUUGACAGAGCCUCAGAGGAAGCACGGGCUAAGUUCGUGCCAGCAGCCGCGGUAAUACGAACUGUGCGAACGUUAUUCGGAAUCACUGGGCUUAAAGGGUGCGUAGGCGGUUAUCUAAGUCAGGUGUGAAAUCUCUCGGCUCAACCGGGAAACUGCGCUUGAAACUGGGUGACUGGAGUGAUGCAGGGGUGUGUGGAACUUCCGGUGGAGCGGUGAAAUGUGUAGAUAUCGGAAGGAACGCCAGCAGCGAAAGCGGCACACUGGGGCAUUUUCUGACGCUGAGGCACGAAAGCUAGGGGAGUGAACGGGAUUAGAUACCCCGGUAAUCCUAGCCGUAAACACUGAGCACUGGGGGGAGGGAGGUUUCGGCCUUCUUUCCCGUAGCGAAAGCGUUAAGUGCUCCGCCUGGGGAGUAUGGUCGCAAGGCUGAAACUCAAAGG
rnacentral:rRNA from 1 species